rnacentral:tRNA from 1 species
GCCUUUGUGGUGUAGUAGUUAACACGCUGGGCGCCUGUUCCAGAGGUCCGUGGUUCGAGUCCCGGCGAAGACG